UCCUGGCUCAGAUUGAACGCUGGCGGCAUGCUUUACACAUGCAAGUCGAACGGCAGCACGAAAGAGCUUGCUCUUUUGGUGGCGAGUGGCGAACGGGUGAGUAAUACAUUGGAACGUACCGAGUAAUGGGGGAUAACUGUCCGAAAGGAUGGCUAAUACCGCAUACGCUCUGAGGAGGAAAGCGGGGGACCUUCGGGCCUCGCGUUAUUCGAGCGGCCAAUGUCUGAUUAGCUAGUUGGUGGGGUAAAGGCCUACCAAGGCGACGAUCAGUAGUGGGUCUGAGAGGAUGAUCCGCCACACUGGGACUGAGACACGGCCCAGACUCCUACGGGAGGCAGCAGUGGGGAAUUUUGGACAAUGGGCGAAAGCCUGAUCCAGCCAUGCCGCGUGUCUGAAGAAGGCCUUCGGGUUGUAAAGGACUUUUGUCAGGGAAGAAAGGGUUUGGGUUAAUACCCUGAGCUUAUGAC
rnacentral:rRNA from 2 species